UGGACUGUCUGUGCUUCAUAGAUACAUAUUUACGUAAAUUGAUAUUACGUCGCAUUGUGCAUCCUCCAUACUGGUUAAACCUAUCCGUGUACAACUUAUGGAUCAUACAUAUCUGAAGUAUCUACGUACCUAUAUACACUUGAUUUUAUGUCCAUUAUUCAACGAAUCGUUCCAGAAGAGGUUGGUGCAGAUGUGUCUGCACGUUUCAUUCUAAUUUAAAAUUAGGAUGAAAAAACGUAAAAAAUUGUUUGGCGAAACAGCAUCACCGUUCCAGGGAGGAUAAAAAAGUUGGAGUAAUUUCGAAAUUACAAAAGACCACACCAGGAAAUUAAUAAGUCUCGGAAAUCUAAACCAACCCUGUAAUAAAAUUAAUACUAACUCAACACGAUGUCGACGACCCUGCAAACGCUUGUAAAAAGGAAGAGGGGACGACCUCCAAAUCCGAACAAGAAACUUAUCCAAAAACCCAAGAAGGUUAAAAAGUAUGAAGAAAUCCCAACCACAAAAUCGGUCAGAAACGCGAUAAACGCCAAGAAAAAUCGCGACCUGGCAAAGAAACGUUUGACACAAAUGCAGAUGGAAAAUGACGCCCUGAGAGAAGAGAAUGCUCAACUCAUGAAACAAAUCGCGACCCUGGCGUCAGAAAAUUUAGCUCGGGCAGAAACCAUUGCAAAAUUAGACGGUCAAAAACUGGAUCAUUUUAAAAGGGUUGAUCUAAUUUUAAAUAUUCAUAAAAUGUUCAGCCCUGGACCGGAUCAGUUAAGAUGCAAGUCUAGUGAUACAAGCGACAAAGAAAUGAAACGUGAAAAUUGAGGAUUUCGUUAAUGUCUUUGAAGUGCCAGUUGAGUCCGAGCUGACGAUAAUACACAAUACCCAUUGAGGUGCUAUAUUACUAUUUAAAAUUCAUGUUUGGCCUCACCUCGAAGCCACACUGGUCGAGAUUACUUAAAUUUCUGGCCAAAACCUACUGCUCUCGAACAAUUCUAUUUUUCGGGCUUUUGGGAAUUAAGAUAUGGAGUUUCAAGGGGGGUUAGUUAUCCAACGUUCAUUGAAACCCAUGCCUUUCUAGGGGUGUGGUCCAGAUAUUUUGCUCGGGCCAAUUUGCCUUCGCGUAAAUUCAAAUUUCUAUUCAUGUUUGCGAUGAUGGGAGCAGUUUCUGUAAAGCAUUUACGAUUCCGAUUCAGAGCAGCACAGGAAUAAAGGGUGUUGAUUUAAUCCGCGAACAUCCAUUUUUCGGCUCAAGCUCGAGACAAAGUCUGCUAUAAUUAUUGAGCCCGUUAAUAUUUUUCUUUGAAAUUGUCACCAUGUGUGGACCGAUGAUAGGUAGUAAUCAUUAGCGUAAUACCAUUGGGAUGCAGGUCUUGGAAAUGAGGAAUUCCAGGUGAAAUAAAAUAUCCACCAAAAUUCUGACGUGCCUGAAACACUUUGUGCCAAUGGAUGAACAAAAAUUUUUCGAACAUGAAGAAUGAUCUGAACAACUCAAAUGGGUCCCACCUACUAGGAAAACAACGAAUAUGUUGAUAUUUCGUUCGAAAACUUGAAGUUCUCGUCGAAAUGGUUCAAGGGAGUUGAACAACGGAAAAUGGAUUUAACGAAAAUCGAAGAUAAAUUGUCCAUUGCGGUAAAAACUAUCGUCGAAUUGGCAUUAUAUGGUCACAGAACUAACAAGCUAACGGAGAAAAAUCAUUUUCCUUCCAAACAUAAUGAUUUCCGUGUUGCAUUUGCAUAAACUCCUUGAAACAGCGGUUAUUUGAUGACGUUAGGAACUUGGUCACCACAUCCGCGGAAUCGAUGAGUCUGAAAUUAAUGUAUAUCCAAUAUGAUACUGACAAAAUUGAAGAUAAAGAACAGCAAAAAAAUCGGACCAGUCAUUACUGAGGGUCCUCAAAUUUGGGUCGGAAGUUGUGGUAUCAAGUGGCUUUUGGCGCGUGCCGUGGCAUCUCUGAAUACUGUAUGAAAAUGAGAAAACAUGAUGAAACGGGAGAUAUGGACAGAAUUCGACCUAUGUGCUCUGAUAGCUUAAGGAAUAAGGAAUUAUUGCCAGUUAAGAUAAACAUUAUUUUCAACCAGGACAAUGUCACAUAUCACAUCGAAGACUCCACUAUGUAGAUAUUGGAGCAACAAGUUUCAAUCGUACGUAGGAAAUUUUUGUGGAAUGAUAAAAAUCUGGCCGCGUAUUCCCAGGAUAACAUGUUGCAUAGACCUAAGGAAAAAGUGCACCAGAUCCAAAACCUUCAACAUGGGAAGACAUAAUUACCAAAGUUCAAAGCAAAUUAAAUCCAGUGCCAAAAUCAGCUUGGGAAAAUUAGCAUGGAGGCUACAGCAAAGAGUUGAAGGGAUGAUUGAUGUGCAUGGUGGAAAGACCAAAUACUGAGGCAUCAAUUAAAAAAAGAUAGGCUUUGGUAGUAGUCGUACUUUUGUAAAACAACCGUUUCCGUUUUGCAGUUAAAAAUGUUCGCGAAUUAAAUCAACACCCUUUAGACAGAAUUUUCAAUUUAACAUUUGGUCUAUUUAUCCUAAUGUUAUAAAUAAUGCAAGUUUAAGCGCACACCACUCCAUAACAAGUUCAACAAUUCAAAUGAAGGUUUUUAGAAUUGUUCAUAUCUGGGAAAAGUACGGAAGAGGGUAAUUUGUUUCCGAAUCAGUGAGAUUAGGUUUUGGCCAUGAAAUUUUGUUCGCACCAGUGAGGAAGUAGUGGGUUUGUAAUUUAAUGUCUAUUCAUUCAUACAUAAGUAAGUUUCGAAAUCCUGUUUGGAGUUUCAAAAUUUUGGAGAAAUGAUAAAAAAGCAGAUAAGGAAACUGUAUGUAGACAUUUUAAACAAUCGUUUAAACUUUCAAACGGAAUACACAAAAACUGAAAGUUUAAUCGUUGUCCUAAAUUCCAAGGGGUGUCGCGAUUUGAAAAUUUAAACCGUAAAAAUUUUUGCAGGUCAGAGUACAGAGCUAGCGAUUAAUUUCAGACAGAAUUUAGUACACAUGCAUGUGCGAACUGAUCCUGUGUAUUUAUGGCUUUGAGGGUUACAAAAGUUAUGUAGGAAAAAGCAAAUACUUAAUACGACAUAAAAAAGGGUUAAAAAAUAAUAUGGACCCUGGACUCAACUGGCAAUUUUAAGGAUAAACAACAAUAAUAAGCAGAGCCAAAAUAAUCGUCAGGCAUCAUUCCCUCUACGUAAAUUAAUCAUCGCUCUUAUCGUAUUCAUAUAUUUGAUACAUAAAUUGGACCACAAUGGUGGAUUUGCGUAGCGGGAUGGAUGCUGAAUUAAUUACAUAUUUUCUAAAGGUGUGUUUAUAGUUCACGUCAUCAUCAAUUCACUCGGCCAAUUGGAUUUUUUUACUGGAAGAAGUAGGUAAUUGUAAUAUACAAAAACAAAAAUUCUGGCCAAUCAAAAGAUCGAAUUGACCGAGUGAAGUGAGGAUGACGUGAAGUAUAAACACAACUAAAUGGUUGAAAAUUAUUCGUAAUUAUAUACGUAAUAGUUGGUACUUAAGGGAAUGUCGUUCAAGAUAUCUAAUUUGUUAGAUAUUUAUAUGGAAAUGUUGUGAAUAUAUUUAUUUUGUUCAUUUCAUUUGGAAAGCUGGAUAUAUUAAUAUUUAAGUACAUAAGGACUACCAAAAUCGGGAAAUGUUAAUGUUUAAGUAAAUAAGGAUUACCAAAAGCGGGAAAUUUUAAUGUUUAAGUAAAUAAUGGCCACCAAAAGCGGGAAAUUUUAAUGUUUAAGUAAAUGAGGAUUACCAAAAGCGGGAAAUUUUAAUGUUUAAGUAAAUGAGGAUUACCAAAAGCGGGGAAUUUUAAUGUUUAAGUAAAUAAGGACUACCUAAAGGCGGGAAAUUUUAAUGUUUAAGAAACUUAUGAUUACCAAAAGCGGGGAAUAUUAUUGUUUAAGUACUUCAGGAUAAUCUGAAGUGACAAAUUGUAACAUUUAAGAGCCUAAGGAUUACCAAAAGCGGGGAAUUUUAAUGUUUAAGAAACUUAGGAUUACCAAAAGCGGGGAAUUUUAAUGUUUCAGAAACUUAGGAUUACCAAAAGCGGGAAAUAUUAUUGUUUAAGUACCUACGUAGGAGUAUGUAUUUACAUAUAUACAUAAAAGUAUGUACGAAGGCAUUGCAUUCCGCGUAGAGUGACGUCUAUCUCCAAAUAUUAUGAUUAACGUUGUAGUCGUAUCACUCUAAGCAAAAUGUGAAGCAUUAGUACAUAUAAAUUAUGACACCAAUUGGCAUUCAACAAUCUACCGUUAGUAAAUGUAUGUAUAUAAAUUUAGUUUGAAAGUAAUAAAAUUGUGAGUAUUUGUGAGCAAUAA